GAAGUUUUUAAUUCCAUCUUUCUCUAUAAUCAUCUUACAAAAUAUGAAUGAGUUUCCAUGUUUAAUGAUGAUUGGUUGCAUAAACACUAGAUCUAUAAAUCCAUACGUAUUCUGCCGUUUCUUCACAUCGAUUCGGUUGUUAAUCGAUUUAUCAAUCAUCCUCUGUUUCUUCACAUCGAUUUGGCUGUCAAUCGAUUUGUCAAGCAUUAUUUAAGUUGUGUUUUGGACUCUACACAAUCACCAGACUUGAAGCUUAACACAAAUGGUGGGAGGCGAAGCAGACGGAAUAGCUUUGAAUUAGCUACAACUUUAGGUGGUCUGAAGAUAAGCAAUCGAACAUUCAAUGGCCCUAUAUUUUUGCAGAGGUGGGGAGUGUUUCGACACGGGAAGAGCAACAACAACAGAAGGGGAUGUAUAUAGUUUUGGUGUAGUUUUACUUAAGCUCUUGAGGGCAGUAAACUGUGAGAUGAAGCAUUUGCCGAGGAGGGAACAAAGCUUGUAACACGGUAACCAUGCAGACAAAGGCGUUGCUUAUCCUGGAUGGCAGCCUAUGGGCAUGAAGAUCAAAAUAUGUGACGGUAGCAGCUGGGCGACAUGUGGCGGGAAAGAUAUAGUUGACCUGUCAAAAGAGAAGCGGUUGAACCAGAUUCAUCAGUUAUAACCAUCAAGUUUGCUGAAACAUCUCACGCUGCAGCUGAUAGCCUCUCCAAUGGUGAUCUUGAAGUUGAUCCAUCGGACGACAUUGCUAUUGAUCCUCCAAACAAAGUGGAGGUGACUAAUGUCGUAUAAUUACUGGUGGAUGGUGAAAAGAUACAAGGUUGCAACCUUAAGCCUGGAAUAUUAGAGCAAGUUUGAGAAAAUCACCUGCUGACCAGCCAUGUCUAUAAUCCUUCUUUGUUUGGUUUCUAUUGGUUUUGGCCCCCUUUGGGUUUUGUACUAUGUAGGCAUUUUAAGACCUGCUAAGUUGCAUGUUUGUUUUCUUCUUUAAGUGAAUAAAAGCAUGCUUUGCCGUAAAAAAACUAACUGUGUUGGUUUUGUAACUUCAUUUGAUACAUUAUGCACCCGUAGGUAGAGGGAUGGAUU